UAUAAUUGGACUGUGAACAGAUAUCAGAAAAAUCAUUUUCUCCGUUUGUUCAUCUAACUAAGUAUAUAUACGCAUUAAUCCUAUAGCCAUAUUGUUUUGUGUCAAUGUUGAAAUGCGUUUUAUUACCACGUGUCAGUAUUAAAUUUUUAUAAUGGCUUCAAAAACUCGAAUUAUUUUAUACACGUUGUUGGCUUUUUACCUGGUUGUUGAAGUCAAUUGUAGACCAAAGCAGUCAGCACACCAGAGGUUAAAUUCACAGCUCAGAAAGAAGGAAAGCCAAAUUAUAAAGAAGCUGCAGAUUAUUAAUAAAAAUAACCUUAUCAAUGAACUGAAGCACGAUAGGGAUUACUGGAUCAACUGGAUGAAUCUCUCAAUCAAGUUGGAGAAAAUAAGAGAUAUGCUAUUGCUGGAAAAUGUGAAGGAUUUACCACAAGAUUGGAGCGCACAAAAGGAACUCUGGAACUCUUAGAGGAAGGACUGGAAAGCAAGAUGUUAUUAUAAAGUAUCGCGGUUAUCGAGUAAUCCGCUGCUGAAACGGACGAUAUUUUAGGUUCACUGAAAACUUUGACACCCCCUGCCUGCCUUUGAAAAUGGGCCAGAGGGCUGCGAUUUGCGCCAUUGGUUAUCCCUUCGGAAGGUCUUUUCACAGGAAAAAUUUCAAAAAAUCGCCGAACCCCCUACCACUUCUUGGUCCAAUUGACGUGGAAUGACCCUGCAAGCAGAUGUUGAAUUCGUGGUCGGACCUGUGAAAAUUAUUAAUCAAGUUUUGCUAACUUUAAUCCAUUCAGCAGGUGGUCAGAGUGUCUAACGGCACGAAAAAGGCACAAAAGUACGAGAAAGGCCAGAAUUUGUCCUAGGUAGCUCGAAAGCACAAAACAGUAUCGUUCAAUAAAACGAGAUAGUCUUACAAAAUUUUGAUUUGUCAAAAAUUGUUUCCUGAGCGAAAAAAUCCAACUAUUGUUUUAGAGAACGUUUUUGUUUUCGGUCUUAUUUAAACUAGGUACAUUGUUACGUUUCAUGAUUUUUUUAUUUUUUUGAAAUCAGCUGGAAAAUUACAUUUUUGAAAAGCCCAAAUUUCUAAAAAAAAACUGGAAAGUUUUGGAAAAAGUAAUUAGGCUGCAACAACUCUGGAAGUAUAUUUUUCUACGAGUGGUCUAAUUGCAUCUACUAUUAGAUAUCGAACAU